CUGAGUACGGCGGAACACGUGAAAUUCCGUCGGAAUCCGGGAGGACCAUCUCCCAAGGCUAAAUACUCCCUAGUGACCGAUAGUGAACCAGUACCGUGAGGGAAAGGUGAAAAGCACCCCGGAAGGGGAGUGAAACAGUUCCUGAAACCGUGUGCCUACAAGUAGUUAGAGCCCGUUAAUGGGUGAUAGCGUGCCUUUUGUAGAAUGAACCGGCGAGUUACGAUUUGUUGCAAGGUUAAGCGGAAAAAGCGGAGCCGUAGCGAAAGCGAGUCUGAAUAGGGCGCAUAAGUAACAGGUCGUAGACCCGAAACCAGGUGAUCUACCCAUGUCCAGGAUGAAGGUAAGGUAAUACUUACUGGAGGUCCGAACCCACGCACGUUGAAAAGUGCGGGGAUGAGGUGUGGGUAGCGGAGAAAUUCCAAUCGAACUUGGAGAUAGCUGGUUCUCUCCGAAAUAGCUUUAGGGCUAGCCUCGAGGUAAAGAGUCAUGGAGGUAGAGCACUGUUUGGACUAGGGGCCCUUCUCGGGUUACCGAAUUCAGAUAAACUCCGAAUGCCAUGUACUUAUACUCGGGAGUCAGACUGCGAGUGAUAAGAUCCGUAGUCGAAAGGGAAACAGCCCAGACCACCAGUUAAGGUCCCCAAAUAUAUGUUAAGUGGAAAAGGAUGUGGGGUUGCUUAGACAACCAGGAUGUUGGCUUAGAAGCAGCCACCAUUGAAAGAGUGCGUAAUAGCUCACUGGUCGAGUGACCCCGCGCCGAAAAUGUACCGGGGCUAAACAUAUUACCGAAACUGUGGAUGAACCUCUUUAGAGGUUCGUGGUAGGAGAGCGUUCUAAGGGCGGUGAAGUCAGACCGGAAGGACUGGUGGAGCGCUUAGAAGUGAGAAUGCCGGUAUGAGUAGCGAAAGAAGGGUGAGAAUCCCUUCCACCGAAUAUCUAAGGUUUCCUGAGGAAGGCUCGUCCGCUCAGGGUUAGUCGGGACCUAAGCCGAGGCCGAUAGGCGUAGGCGAUGGACAACAGGUAGAGAUUCCUGUACCAGUGCUAAUUGUUUAACCGAUGGGGUGACACAGAAGGAUAGGGAAUCGCACGAAUGGAAAUGUGCGUCCA
rnacentral:rRNA from 1 species